rnacentral:rRNA from 1 species
UAGGGAAUCUUGCGCAAUGCGGGCAACCGUGACGCAGCAACACCGCGUGUGGGAAGACGGCCUUCGGGUUGUAAACCACUUUCAGUUGGGACGAAGGUUCGGCAGUGAAUAGCUGUCCGGACUGACGGUACCUUCACAAGAAGCCCCGGCUAACUACGUGCCAGCAGCCGCGGUAAUACGUAGGGGGCAAGCGUUGUCCGGAAUCAUUGGGCGUAAAGCGCGCGUAGGCGGCCCGAUAAGUCCGCUCUGAAAGUCAAGGGCUCAACCCUUGAAUGCGGGUGGAUACUGUCGGGCUAGAGUCCGGAAGAGGCAAGUGGAAUUCCUGGUGUAGCGGUGGAAUGCGCAGAUAUCAGGAGGAACACCCAUAGCGAAGGCAGCUUGCUGGGACGGUACUGACGCUAAGGCGCGAAAGCGUGGGGAGCGAACAGGAUUAGAUACCCCCGUAGUCC